UCUGCACCCACUGGCAAGAGUCCAUCACAAUCUAAUUUGUUGACAGUUGACAUGUCAUAAUAGAAGGAGAGAGUAGGGAGGGCGUUGGGCCUUCACCUGAGACUUUAGCCACACCCCCAGCCAUCCAUAAGCACUUCUGCCCUAACCACACAUAACCACCUGGUAUCAGCUGGUGCUGAUGUAUAUAAUAUAGGCUGGGGGAAGUUGAGAUGGGGCACCAUCUAUGUGAGGGGAGACCAUCAUCGAGCUGGGUAAAGACUUUCCUCUGGGGUUACUCAAACUCCUGUCAGUGAGCACCUCUCACCCACGUUCUGACUCUACCCAACAUCCACAGGUGAUGCUACCCAUAGUCUGUGUGGGUCUUGCCCGCCUCAAUUAACUCAACCUAUGAACUUCCUAACAAAUAUGUCGAGAGGUUCAUAGACUAGGAGCACCACAAAGCUCCAUCGUGCCAAAUGUGAAGAUGCCAAGAACAUAGGCCGGAAGAAGCACUGGGAUGGACCGAUGUGGAGACUCAAAGCCUCAAAGCGAGCGCACUGCCCCCUGCUUUCCCUCCAGGCCCUGGGGUUGAUGUCAUGCACAGGCCCUGCUUCCAAUCUGGAAACGCAUCCCUCUGCACAGUACAGGAUGUGCUCCUCCUCCUGCUGAGGUAGGUGUGCAGUCAGUCACUCUGAUGGGGUCCUCACCCAUAAAUGGAACUGAGCAGCAGCCAAGAAAGAUGCUGACCUGGACCUUUGCUGAUGUGGGCUUCAAGUCUCCACCAAGCCACAGCUCCCAGGAUCUGCCUGUCUCUGCUCUCUGCCUCCCCAGCAUGCUCUACUGCUCCAUGGGUUCUGGGGAUUUGAACUCCAGUUCUCAUACUCCACAACAGGCACUUUACCCAGUGAGCCACUUUCUAAAACCAUCAGCGUUCACGAUGACUGCUUCGGAUCCCAGUUUCUCUCUUCAUGACUAACCUAGCAUGACUUCACCGUGUGUCACUGUUUGAAAUCAACACAGACUGCUGGCUACCUUAGUCACUAUGUUUCACUUUUGGUGAAUAACUGACACAAAAUGCCAGCUCUAUGAUGUUACCUCUGUUAGCGCCAUUAACUCCAUUACACCCAUUAGCUGAUAGGACUGCUUAAAGACACAAAUAAAAAAAGAGAAAUGUAAGA